AAUCCGAACUCCACCCCAUCCUGUUUCUUCCACGCCGUUCCAUCCUUAUCCGAAUCUCCCAGCAUCUUUCUUCUUUCGAUCAACUCCCCUAUUCUGCAUCCAAAAAUCCUCUGCUUCCUUCUCAUAUCCAGCAUCCACCAGCUGCAUCAAAUCUCAUCCACGGAUAAGUCACCGCUUUCCAACCAUUCCGUGAAUCCCUCCAAGCUUAUCCCCUGCUUUCCUAGUUCAGCCUCAUCUCGGUCGUGAUUCACCUUCAUCCCGCAUUGUUCUCGAUUCGACUUUAUCUUCCCAGGAUUCACAGCAUCCCGUAAGCCCUUCGUCCCGUUCGCAAUGGCUUUCAGCCGCCCAUGUAUCCCCUGUUUUAACAGAACAAAGCUUAAUCUUCCCAUCAACUGCCAACCGAAUCCAAACUACCUCCCAUUCGGAUUAAUCCCAUUGAUCACGAAAGAAUCCUCUGUUCCUAUCUUUCCCGAGUUCAUCCUCCCAAGGAAAUCUUUCAUCCCGUUUACGUGCGUUCCCCCUUCAUCACGGAUCAAGCCAACACCUAUGCGCUCUUCCCAACAAUUCUUAGCAUCCGCAUCAAAGGAUCAAGUCCUCUCAACCGUGAGCUUCAUCAGCGUCAUCCCCUGCCUCAAAACAGAAUUCUUCUUCUAAUCCGAGAUCUUCUCAGUAUCUU
rnacentral:lncRNA from 1 species